rnacentral:lncRNA from 1 species
AUAGUCCGCUAUUCUGCAGUGAUUUUCUUCCAAUCCAGUAUCAUUUGUACGUUGCAGCAUCAUCGAACACUAUGACCCAUGAAUCAGAAGAUAACGUAGAUGCUACGAGAGAGCUCAUUUCACAAUGGACAACAGAAGUGUUACGUGACUUUCUACAAGGAGGGGACUCAAGCUUGGAAAUCGAGUACCGGUAGUCAUUAUUUUAUGGGUGUUCUCUGCCUUGACUCUGGGGGUACUGUUCAGCCAUCCGAGGUAGAGAUAAACUGGACGAUGGAUGGAGAGGGGGCGGGGGGGGGGGGGGGGGGGGGAGAAAGGCAUGCAGACUGCAGAGCUGGUCGUCUACUAUGUAUAGAGACAUUUGUGUGUACCUAGUAGAUAAGGACCCUCCAUCACUAGAGGGAAGAAUGAGAGACUACAAAGAGGGAAAGGCAUUUAGUUAUUUUGCCAGUUUCUGGUUAGGGAGAUAUUUUUUUCAUCUCGUGGGAGAAAGCUGUCUGUAAUUCAAAAUCAUUUGAUACUUGAAUAAAUUUAGUUCAUUUUCUAGACUGUUUCAUGUCAAACCGUUGAUUCUACUUUCUUGUGAGUAUAGUCAGAGAGAUAGAGAAGUAACACGAGUAAA